GGAAAUUAAAGGUCUGGAAAACAAAUAUUAGCAUUCCAAGAUAUUUAUUUUACCCAUUGUACUAACUAAUAAAUAAUAUAAUAUUCAAACACCUUCCCAAGAUUAGGGAUUUUUUUUCCUUUUUACUGAAGAUAAGGGAAAAGGUGAAGAAAAAGGAGAAUGGGUGAAGAAAAAGGAGAAUGAAAAGAAGUUGUGGAUAAAAAGUAAAGUGCAAGGAUUACCAACUCACCUGACCCAACAAUU
rnacentral:misc_RNA from 1 species